UUUAGAGAGAGAGAGAGAGAGAGAGAGAGAACUCCUAGGCUAAGAAAAGCCAUUUUUGACCAAAAUCGGAGCCCCAAAUUCCGAAGCUCGUGAAGAGAAAAGUGUUGUACGUUGCAUUGCCUUCAGUUUGAGCCAAAAAUCAGCUAAGAAGGAGAGUGUUGACUUGUCUGCUGCAUACUUAAGGUAAUGUGCGAGAUGAGAUAUGAAGAUGGCCAUUUGGAGUAGACUUUUUGGGAGCCCUUGUGAAGAUCACAUCUGCAUAUGCAUCUAGUUUUUGUAAAAUUUUGGGGACUUGUACAUGAUACAUGUGUGGCACUUAUGUAUGAAAUUUUGAAGGCUUGUGGAAAACAAGACCAUAUGCUUGUAACUUGAGCCUGGUGACUUGUUUUGCUAUUUUAGGGUGUGCUUUUAACUCAAGUCAUGCCAUGUAUUGGGUUUAUAUUUUGUCUUGUAAUUAUGUACAAAGGAUGAUAAUAGUUUUGUGAAAAUCACUAGUUUGAGUUUUGUGUA